rnacentral:rRNA from 1 species
AGCGAACGUUAGCGGCGGGCCUAACACAUGCAAGUCGAACGGGCAGUAGCAAUACUGUCAGUGGCGCACGGGUGAGUAACGCGUAGGUAAUCUACCCUUUGGCGGGGGAUAACGUUCCGAAAGGGACGCUAAUACCGCAUAAGACCACGACCUCUUCGGGGGUUGGGGAAAAGGUGGCCUCUUCUUGAAAGCCAUCACCGAAGGAUGAGCCUGCGUCCCAUCAGCUAGUUGGUAGGGUAAUGGCCUACCAAGGCGAAGACGGGUAGCUGGUCUGAGAGGAUGAUCAGCCACACUGGCACUGGAACACGGGCCAGACUCCUACGGGAGGCAGCAGUGGGGAAUAUUGGCAAUGGGCGCAAGCCUGACCCAGCCACGCCGCGUGAGCGAUGAAGGCC